rnacentral:misc_RNA from 1 species
GAUGAAGAACGUAGCGAAAUGCGAUAAGUAAUGUGAAUUGCAGAAUUCAGUGAAUCAUCGAAUCUUUGAACGCACAUUGCGCCCUUUGGCAUUCCGAAGGGCACACCUGUCCGAGCGCCGUCGCACAACUGAGGCGCAGCCUUGCGUUGGCGGGCGACUUGUGAGUAGCGAGUCGCCGCCCAAACGAGACGGCGCCGCGCCGCGGCCGACGAAGCACGAAAGCGGAAGUCGACGCGGAGGCGGUUGCCUGUAGGAAGACACAGCUUGGCCUCGGAUCAGGUGGGGAUACCCGCUGAACUUAAGCAUAUCAAUAACGGAGGA